AGUGGAUAUAGUUGCAAAACCCUCAUUUCUUCUUCUUCAACAUAAACCCUCUUCCUCCCUCUACCUGCAACUCAUUUCAACAAUGAAAUCAAUUCUUAACCCAAAGUUUUCAUCUUUAUCUUCCAAUUUCCCCAAACUCUCUUCUUUCUCUCUCUUUUCACACCCUCGUCAAUUCACCAUUCUUUUCCGCAACAACCCAUCUUCAUUCUCCAACCCUCUUCGCCUCAACCCAACAUCAACAACAACACCCUUUAUUACUAACUUCAUUUCCAAAUCUCAAAAUCGAACCUUUCAAGCUUCAACUUCUACUUCUGGUGAUAUUCAUGUCAUUGUCGGCCCCAUGUUCGCCGGAAAAACCUCCUCACUUAUCCGCCGGAUUCAGUCGGAGUCUAAUAGUGGCAGGUCAAGUCUUGCAGAAAAUACUCAGAAUUUGGAUAAGGUUUUGCAAGGUUUGUGUGUAUCUGGAAGGUUAGCAGAGGCAAUUAGGCUCUUGUACCGCACGGGGUUGCCGGUGCAUCAGAGAACCUAUUCUUUAAUGCUGCAGGAAUGCAUAUUCUGGAAAAAUUAUAAAAGGGGAAGAAGAAUUCAUGCACAGAUGAUUGUUGUUGGAUAUGUUCCCAAUGAAUAUUUGAAGACCAAAUUGUUGAUAUUAUAUGCAAAAUCAGGAUGUCUAGAUACUGCAUUGUUUCUGUUUAAUAAUUUAGUGGAGAAGGACUUGUUUGCAUGGAAUGCAAUCAUAGCUGGUUAUGUUCAAAAGGGCCUUGAAAAAGAUGGUUUGGAAACUUUUUAUGCGAUGAGACAGGCUGGUUUGAGACCUGAUCAGUAUACAUUUGCAUCAGUUUUUAGAGCCUGUGCAACUUUGGCGUUGUUAGAACCUGGGAGGCAAGCCCACGGUGUAAUGUUGAAGUGUCAAAUUGGGGACAAUGUUGUAGUCAACAGUGCAUUAAUAGACAUGUAUUUUAAAUGCAGUUGUAUUUGCGACGGACACCUGUUGUUCGAUACGUGUUUGAGUAGAAAUACCAUAACUUGGACUACUUUGAUAUCUGGGUAUGGUAAGCACGGACGAGUUGUGGAGGUUUUAGAUUCUUUUCAUAGAAUGAUAUCUGAAUCUUUUAGACCAAAUUAUGUUACUUUUCUCGCAGUUUUGGUUGCUUGUAGCCAUGGGGGUUUGAUUGAUGAAGGGCAUAAAUAUUUUCAAUCAAUGAUAAGAGAGUAUGGAAUGGUGCCUCAAGCUAAACAUUAUGCAGUUAUGGUUGACCUUUUAGGGCGUUCCGGGAAGUUAAAAGAGGCUUAUGAAUUUGUUCUUAAGUCACCUUAUAAAGAGCACUCAGCGAUAUGGGGUGCUUUGCUUGGGGCUUGUAAGAUUCACGGUGACUUAGACUUGUUAAAAAUUGCAUCAAAGAAAUAUUUUGAAUUUGAACGUGUAAAUGCUGGAAAGUAUGUUGUCUUGGCAAAUGCUUAUGCCUCGUCUGGUUUGUGGGAUAAUGUUGAGGAGGUUAGAGCUUCAUUGAGGGAAUCAGGGAUGACAAAGGAGCCUGGUUAUAGCAGGAUUGAGGUGCAAAAUGAGGUCUGUUUCUUCUUUAAAGGCGAUAAAUCUCACCGACAAGCUGAUGAGAUUUAUCAGGUAAUUAAAGAGAUUACCUCUAUAUUAAAGGAUGCCGGCUAUAUUCCCGAUUCAAGUAGAAACUAAUAAAUGCUUACCUUAUGCAGCAGAAAACAAGGGGAUAUAAAUUUCUGCUGCUUAAAAUUUGGUUGAGACAAUUUGCAAAUGUCCUUGUUGAGUUAUAUAGAUGAUUCUUUAGGGAUUCAAACAUGUUCUGGUUUGUGGAAAGCUGGUGAAUUGUAGGUUGUAGAUUUGAAACCGAACACUGAAACACAUAGGACAUUGUGCUGUACUAGUAUGGACAUUCUUCAGUUCUCUGGGAAUACAUUUUUUUUUGUUUUUGUGUUAGCCAUACGCUUUGCACGUCUCUGAAUUUGGCAAGCUAUAUUCGGUGAUAGCCAACCAGUAUUUUCUUUUCCUUCAGGGAACCUUUGAAGAGAGUUUACAAAAAGAUCUAGAAAAUGUGGCAAUAAUUAAAUCAAGCAAGGAUACAAGAUAUGGAUUAGAUUCAAUUGUUACACAUGAUGGUGCAAAAUUACCAUGUUGGCCUCUAAAAAACUUGUCAUCAUUCAAGCAGAAGUUUGGAAUUGAUGCUUAUGAGAAGAUUAUGACAGCUGGAUGUGAUUGGCAUUGACGAAGCUCAAUUCUUUGACGACCUUUAUGAUUUCUGCCGCGAAGCUGCUGAUCAUGAUGGAAAAACAGUAAUAGUUGCAGGACUCGACGGUAACUAUUUGAGG